GUGGGGGUGCUGUGCAGGUGUGUUGGUGGGUGCCGUGCAGGUGCUGUGCAGGCGGCGGUGGCGGUGUGUCAGGUAUGUGGAGCUGUUCCUUCAGCACCGCUGCUCACCUGGCCCCUGUGCCCGGCCCUGUGCACUGCCCAGGCUCAGGGUGUGCGCUCUGGAGCCGGCUGGAUGUGGGAUGUGCACGUUGGAGCUGGCUGGAUGCAGGGUGUGUGUGCUGGAGCUGGCUGGAUACGGGCUGUGCGUGCUGGAGCUGGCUGGAUGUGAGAUGUGCACGUUGGAGCUGGCUGGAUGCAGGGUGUGUGUGCUGGAGCUGGCUGGAUACGGGCUGUGCGUGCUGGAGCUGGCUGGAUGUGAGAUGUGCACGUUUGGGGUGUGCACGUUGGAGCUGGCUGGAUGCGAGAUGUGCACGUUGGAGCUGGCUGGAUGCGGGAUGUGCAUGCUGCAGCCGGCUGGAUGCAGGAUGUGCACGUUGGAGCUGGCUGGAUGCAGGGUGUGUGUGCUGGAGCUGGCUGGAUACGGGCUGUGCGUGCUGGAGCUGGCUGGAUGUGAGAUGUGCACGUUGGAGCUGGCUGGAUGUGGGAUGUGCUCGUUGGAGCUGGCUGGAUGCGGGGUGUGUGUGCUGGAGCUGGCUGGAUGCAGAGUGUGCAUGCUGGAGCUGGGCAGAUGCAGGGCAUGCUGAAGCCAGCUGGAUGAGGCGUCAUGCCGGAGCUGGCUGGAUGCGACGUGUGUGCCAGAGCUGGCUGGACGUGGGACACGUGUGCUGGAGCCCACUGGUUGUGGGACAUCCAUGCCAGAGCUGGCAGGACAUGAGAUGUGCAUGCCAGUGCCCGCAAGGCACAGGGUGUGUGUGCCAGAGCCAGCUGGGUGCAGCACGGAGCGUGCGCUGGAGCCGGCUGGGUGCAAGGCGCAGGGCUCUGCUGGCUGAGGGACGGCUCCUCUCCAGCCCCAUUGCUGCCUCGGGAGGGAGCUACCUGCGCUCUGCCUCUGUGUUGGGAUGAGUCUUUGAGAGAUGCUGGAAAAGGCAGAGGGGCACGGAGCAGUGCUGGGGCUGAGGCCACGUUGGGGG
rnacentral:lncRNA from 1 species